AUUGAACGCUGGCGGAAUGCUUUACACAUGCAAGUCGAACGGCAGCACGGACUUCGGUCUGGUGGCGAGUGGCGAACGGGUGAGUAAUGUAUCGGAACGUGCCCAGUCGUGGGGGAUAACGUAGUGAAAAUUACGCUAAUACCGCAUACGAUCUAUGGAUGAAAGCGGGGGAUCGCAAGACCUCGCGCGAUUGGAGCGGCCGAUAUCAGAUUAGGUAGUUGGUGGGGUAAAGGCCCACCAAGCCAACGAUCUGUAGCUGGUCUGAGAGGACGACCAGCCACACUGGAACUGAGACACGGUCCUGACUACUACGGGAGUCAGCAGUGGGGAAUUUUGGACAAUGGGCGAAAGCCUGAUCCAGCCAUUCCGCGUGCAGGAUGAAGGCCCUCGGGUUGUAAACUGCUAUGGUACAGAACGAAAAGGUUUCUACUAAUACUAGGAGCUCAUGACGGUACUGUAAGAAUAAGCACCGGCUAACUACGUGCCAGCAGCCGCAGUAA
rnacentral:rRNA from 1 species